rnacentral:lncRNA from 1 species
UUUUGUAUAUAUGCCCCAGUUGGCUGUUCUGCUGAUUCUCGAGAUGCAGCUGAGUGAUCUUCUUUUCUUGCUCAAGAAGUCGGGAAAUCUCGUCAGGAAUCCCUUCAACAUCAUCUUCUUCCGCUUCGAAUACAGGGAAUUCAAAAUUGGGAGAUGACGUCCGAUCAUUAUGUUCAAUGGGUUUGAGAAACAACCUGCAUAAAGAUUUAGAGAUGAAAAGCUCU